GCAGUCUGUAGCUCAGAUGGUUAGAGCGCUCCUGGGCGGACUGAAAUAGUGUCUUAGCUAAUAGGAGAGGUCGCUGGUUCAAUUCCAGCCAGCUGCA
rnacentral:tRNA from 1 species